AUGGGUUGCUAUCCCCUGCGCGUGAUCGUCUCCAAAGCGCUUGGGAAAUGCAACGGGCGCGAACGAUGGAUGGAGGACCAGAGGAUGGACUACGCCAUGGCAUACCCUCCCGGCCCACACCCAGAGACGCUCUACAUGCGGCCCGUGGCGCGCACCGUCACCUUCAGCGGCACCAACUCCGUGCACAUGAUCCCGCCAAACCCGCCACCACAGCAGCAGCAACACCCAGAGCCCCAAGCGCCACCGCCCCAGCACGAGCCCCAGCCGCAGCCCGAGCAGCCCGCUCCCGCGCCGGAGCAAGGCGCGCCGCCGCCCGAGCAGCAGCCGAGGCAGCCGAAGCGAGGCAAGAAGAAGCCGCCGCGCCGCGUCCGGUUCGGUCCCGAGCCACCGCCACCGCAGCAGCAGCAAGAAGAACACCAGGAGCAACAGCAGCAGCAGCCGGAGCACGCGCCGAGCAGCAACCCGGGCAACGGCGCGCCGGGCCACCACGGCCAGCAGGGCCGCGGGCCGCCGGGGUACCUGAGGUACACGCCGUCGCCGCUGCCGAGGUGGGAGGCGACGCCGAGGCGGCACGAGUACUUCUCCGGGGAGUACCGGUACAGCUACCCGACGCCGGUGCGCGAGGGCAUCUACAGCAUGGCCACCGACGCCAACCGCCUCACCACCAUCUUCAGCGAGGAGAACCCCAACGCCUGCGCCAUCGUCUGA
rnacentral:rRNA from 1 species